rnacentral:lncRNA from 1 species
UUCUAUUUUAUACUUAUGCACUCCCCUUCCAGUUUUUUGUCCCCAAACCAUCCAAAUUAACACACUCCCCUUGUGUCUCUCAUCAUGUAACUCUUCCGAAAAAUACAUUGCACUCCCAUGACCAAUUUUUUUUUGCAGGCAAGCAGAAAGUAUAUUAAUAACGUGCAGAAGAUGCACUAAAAACAAUACAAACACGUUUUAACCAACUGAUAAAAGACCUCACUCUGCAUAAGUAUCCAACAUUAAUUAAAAUGUAAAUGAUCCCAACAAAAAGCUCGUUGUUGCACAUACGAAUUUCCACUAGAUGAAUCUUGGUAUAUACCCAAUAACAAAGCGUAUACGAAGAUAUAAACGAAAAUUGACGAUAGCUACAAAGAAAUUAAGGCCACCUACAACAAGAUAAUUCCCCAAUAUUCCAUAUACAAAUCCCAACAUAGUGGCAUUGCUUAUACCAUGCAGAACCUGUCUCAAUGUCAUAAACUCACACAAAACGGACAAUAUAACCUACGAUGCAUGUUGCAACCUGGCCCAUCAUGAAUCUAAAUUAUGAACACCCACCAAGCAAAAUAAUACUCCCAUGGCCAUAUAACCCUUUUCUGAAAUGAAAAAAAAUAUUAUAUAAACUCUUGAGCUUAUCCUUAAUUUGAAAUUUCAUGCUAAGAAUGAAAAGUUAAGACACAAAAUCAAAUUUACCGACAUUGAAAUUUGCCAAAGCGAUUUGAGAAAAAGAAAAAAAGAAAAAAACUUUUCCAACCUUGAAAUCUCCACCCUAAUUUACAAAAUCUCAUUCCUAUUAUUUUCAAAGUACUCACCCUAAUUUUUCAAAGUACAUGGAUGAUUCCUCUUGCUCCUAGAAUUAGCACCAUUCUGUCCAUCCCAACUCCAUAUGGAUCGGAAAACCAAAAUUCCAUAAUACACCACUUGUUGUUAUUGUUAGAAAACAGAGAAGAGGAGACA